rnacentral:rRNA from 1 species
UACAGAGGUCUCAAGCGUUGUUCGGAUUCAUUGGGCGUAAAGGGUGCGUAGGCGGCGCGGUAAGUCGGGUGUGAAAUCCCAGGGCUCAACCCUGGAACUGCGCCCGAUACUGCAGUGCUUGAGGGAGACAGAGGUAAGCGGAACUGAUGGUGGAGCGGUGAAAUGCGUUGAUAUCAGCAGGAACACCGGUGGCGAAAGCGGCUUACUGGGUCUCUUCUGACGCUGAGAAACGAAAGCUAGGGGAGCGAAGGGG